GUGAGAAAGGCAGCUAAUCAGUGGCAGAUCAUGUAUGCUUUCCAGUUAUCAUGAAAAUGAAGACCGAGGCUACCUGGCACCUUCGUCAAUCACAUGUGUGGUUUAGAGGCGGGUCCUCACCAAGGCUCCUAUCGUCCUCUGCUGCAAGGAACAAGGAUGAGGAAUUUGGGCUGCGGCUGGCUGCUGAAGCCACGUGCUGACAGACAAUCCCGGAACAGCUGCAACGUCAUUGUGCCUCCAGAACUCAGAGUGGCUGUUCUCAGAUCAACACAUUCUCAAGGUGCAUUAUCCCAAACUCAGC